rnacentral:misc_RNA from 1 species
GCGGGAGAGAGAGAGUGCUGCAUAUGCCAUUACAAGUCAGUCAAAAGUUGUCCAGUGAAAGAUAAAUUACAUGGUAAUACAAAAAAACAAUCGAGAUUCAGCAGGGAUCAUCAAUUCAGCGGUUCCCAUUAUUUCAAUCUAGUAAUACAUGCAGUGGAAUAACUCCAGAAUCUAAACUAAAAGAGAGCCUUCCAUCACAGUACGAGCUUUCCCUCGCAGCAGCACUCUCUGCUUCUGCUCAUCCAAAUGAAUGUUCAAUAUUCCACUUCUCGGUGAUGCCCGCAUAAGCCAUAAAAUCACACUUUCCAAGCUUUUUGCCCCAGUAGGGGGCUAAAGCGCAAUGUGCACUUCCACAGACAGGAUCCUCAUUGAUUCCAAAUUUGGGACAGAAAAAUCGACUAUAAAAGUCAAAUCCAGACCCUGAUGGAGCAACCCCAGAAACAAUUAUCCCCCUUCCAGGGCACUUUAGUAUCUCAUCAAACUGUGGCUGUAAUUCUGUAACAGCUUUAGCAGAUGGCAAGACAACAAAGAGGUCAUCUGCACCGGUAGUCCUCUUGAUAUCAAUUAUGGAAGCGCCAUUCAGGGCUUUAGAAAUCGAUGCAAGAUCAAGAGAGUUGAAUUCAGUAGUUGGGACAGUAGGAAAAUCUAAUUCAAUAAGAAAACACUCUUUUGCUUUGCUAUUUUGAUUACUCAAGUCAUCAGUUCUGCUGAUAUCAGAAAUCCUCUUAGCAGUUAGGAUACCAGAUAGUGUAACAAACUCAAUAACGUUAGAAGUUACCAAUCCAUUAGAAAAGAGAAUGUGUGAAGCAGCUAGCGUUGCAUGACCACAAAGCUUAACCUCAGCAACAGGAGUGAACCACCUAAGAUGGAACCUGGGAUUUGAAUUGACAGUAUCGGGGAGAUUGAUGGAAGUCAAAUAGCAGGUCUCGGAAAUGUUGAACUCGGCAGCCACAGCUUGCAACCACUUGUCAUCUUUCUCUUCCUCUAAGAAACAUACUGCUGCUGGAUUUCCCUUGAAAGCGGAACCGGUGAAAGCGUCCACCACAAAGUACUUGACGAGUUGUUUCCCCAUUUUACACAUACACAAACAGAUCCUACCUUAUGAACUGGAAAGCAAGUUGCGAUCUUGAAGAUCCCCUUAAUU